rnacentral:rRNA from 1 species
UACGGAGGGUGCGAGCGUUGUUCGGAAUCACUGGGCGUAAAGCGCGUGUAGGCGGCCCAUUAAGUCUGAUGUGAAAGCCCGGGGCUCACCCCCGGAAGUGCAUUGGAAACUGAUGGACUCGAGUCCCGGAGAGGAGAGUGGAAUUCCUGGUGUAGCGGUGAAAUGCGUAGAUAUCAGGAGGAACACCGAUGGCGAAGGCAGGUCUCUGGGCUGACACUGACGCUCAUGCACGAAAGCGUGGGGAGCAAACAGG